rnacentral:rRNA from 1 species
GACGAACGCUGGCGGCGUGCUUAAUACAUGCAAGUCGAGCGAGGUUACUGUUUUGGAUCCCUUCGGGGUGAAGAAGCUUUAACCUAGCGGCGGACGGGUGAGUAACGCGUGGGUAACCUACCCCAAAGUCCGGGAUAACAGCGGGAAACCGCUGCUAAUACCGGAUGUCUUUACCUUGGGGCAUCUUGAGGUAAAGAAAGGUAACGCUUUGGGAUGGGCCCGCGUCCCAUUAGCUAGUUGGUGAGGUAACGGCUCACCAAGGCGACGAUGGGUAGCCGGCCUGAGAGGGUGGACGGCCACACUGGGACUGAGACACGGCCCAGACUCCUACGGGAGGCAGCAGUAGGGAAUAUUGCGCAAUGGGGGGAACCCUGACGCAGCGACGCCGCGUGAAGGAAGAAGGUCUUCGGAUUGUAAACUUCUUUGAUGAGGGACGAAGGAAGUGACGGUACCUCAAAAACAGCCACGGCUAACUACGUG